rnacentral:rRNA from 1 species
GACGAACGCUGGCCGCGUGCUUAACACAUGCAAGUCGAACGGAAAGGCCCUGCUUUUGUGGGGUGCUCGAGUGGCGAACGGGUGAGUAACACGUGAGUAACCUGCCCUUGACUUUGGGAUAACUUCAGGAAACUGGGGCUAAUACCGGAUAGGAGCUCCUGCUGCAUGGUGGGGGUUGGAAAGUUUUGGCGGUUGGGGAUGGACUCGCGGCUUAUCAGCUUGUUGGUGGGGUAGUGGCUUACCAAGGCUUUGACGGGUAGCCGGCCUGAGAGGGUGACCGGCCACAUUGGGACUGAGAUACGGCCCAGACUCCUACGGGAGGCAGCAGUGGGGAAUAUUGCACAAUGGGCGGAAGCCUGAUGCAGCAACGCCGCGUGCGGGAUGACGGCCUUCGGGUUGUAAACCGCUUUCGCCUGUGACGAAGCGUGAGUGACGGUAAUGGGUAAAGAAGCACCGGCUAACUACGUG